rnacentral:pre_miRNA from 1 species
UAGGUUUGUCCUAAGUCAAACUUGACAUAGUUUGACUAACCCUAUAGAAAAAUGUGCUAAGAUCUACAACGUCAAAUACACAUAGUACAAAAAUAUAUGGCAUGAAGAAUCUCAAUAGACUAAUUUGGUGUUCUAGAUGUCAAUAUAUUUUUCUAUAGAUUUGUCAAACUUUAACAAGUUUGACUUGGGACAAAUCCAG